rnacentral:rRNA from 1 species
CCCUUAGAUGUUCUGGGCCGCACGCGUGCUACACUGAGUGGAUCAGCGGGUCAGGUUGCGCGAAAGUGUUUCCUAAUCUUUAAAUCCGCUCGUGAUGGGGAUUGACGGUUGCAAUUUUCCGUCAUGAACGAGGAAUACCUUGUAAGCGCGGGUCAUCAUCCCGCGCUGAAUACGUCCCUGCCCUUUGUACACACCGCCCGUCGCUCCCACCGAUUGAGUGGUCCGGUGAGGCUUUGGGAUCUGAGCGGAAAGAGCGUUUCGCUGUUUCUGCUCGGAAAACUCAGUCGAACCUUAUCAUUUAGAGGAAGGAGAAGUCGUAACA